rnacentral:lncRNA from 1 species
UAUUAUGGAGCGAAAAUGAUUAGCGUUAGCAGCGCUCAGUCUUUUGUUUGCCUCCGUGGCGGUUGGAUGUGGUUCCUGUAACUACGCAUAUUUUUUUAUCGUUGGGACUGCGUACGCGUUGUCCCUGUUUUCUUUUACAUCUGCUGGAAAAUAGCCUUACAGAAUUUAAUCUAUCUACACCGUGAGAGUGGCGUUGGAGCAGUACCCUAUUUUGCUCAGAGCCAUUUAUUGAAUUGAAUUGAAUUGAAGUUAGCAGCGCUCUCUGAGAUGCAGGGGGUACAAACUCCUCUCUUAGAAACCGAGGGUCUUUGGAGCGCCACCAUGAUACGUACCGGAACUGGUGGAACUAAAAUGGGUCACGUGAUACAGAGUGGGGAUACGCGCUACAUUUAAAUCCAAAAACUGGUAAACAGUAAGUGUCCAAUAUGGCAUCCGACGAGCGGUAGUGGGGAAUCGACUGUGCUGCCCUCGGCCUAUGUACCGAAAGAAUAAGCGAACUAAUCACUUCCGUCACCCCUAAAAUACGAGGAGUUUGUACGCCCUGCUGAGAUGGGAGGUAACGCUACAGUUUCCCGAAAAAUGGCGGAGACAAAAUGUACACACGUUGUCACAAAUAUCAUGUAUCAUCAAAUUAUAAGUGUAAAAUACUUCAUAAUAUUAAAUAAAAAUGACAUAAGUGAAAACAUAAAGUGCGUAUAACAAAAUAAAUGAGACGAGUGAGAACAUAAAGUUAAUAAGCUUCCCAGCUAUCCAAGUGCUUGCAGAAUAUUAUUAGUUGGAGGCCACUUUUCUGUGAAGUAAGAUUACCAAAGUCUGAGGUUACUGUGUCCUUGAAUGCGUCCCAGAAAGCAAAAGUUGAAUCACAUCCUAACAUCAAAUAUCAGAGUAAGAUGUGUUACUAGCAGUAUGAUGACAGAUUAAUGCAUCAAACUAAUAAUAGGAAACAGGAUGUUUUGCCUAUGUUUGCCUCUGCAAGUAAGGUUGUUGUGAUUUACGGUCAAGAAUGAUGAACUUUUUCCCAAAAAUUGAGGAUUGGUCCUUAAAGAAGACAACUACAGUAAAAUGAAAAAUAAAAAUUAUAUAAAUGGAAGAUGCAAGAGUCACGAGAAGUCAAGGAUCGCAAAGAAAAUAGAAAGAGGAAUUAUAAUCGGAUCUUGCCCAAAAUGUUGGAUUCCUCAUCAUGUUAUGAAUGUUUCUCUGGUGUUGUGUUAAUUUUUCUGUAAUAGAUAAUAUUAAAUUAUAAGAAUGCUAAAAAUAUUCUAGCAAUAAAUGCAAUAGAGUGCUUA